ensembl:lncRNA
GUGUAUGUAUGUUGUGUCUACUUGCCCGCCCUUGACUGUACGAGUGUGUGUGUGUGUUUUUAGCACUCCUCAGCUCGUACACUUCUUUUUGACUUUUUUGACUAUUACUGCUCUUAAAUUGCUCGUAAUUCCAAUCUGUCAAUGUCCGCCUAAUCCCGCUUCUAUGUGUCUAGGUGCCGGUGCCCGUCGUCAGUCCCCUCUCUCUCCGUUACUGGACCUGGAUCAGGAUUUGGACCUGGAUCUGGACACCCCUUAUGUUUAUUUUAUGACAUUUUUUAUCCACAACAUUAGAAAAACCACUUUCGUUUGCUUGUUUGCGCCUUCUUGUUCGCUCAAUUGCGUUUUCAGCGCAUAAAGAGCAAAAGUGUGUAAGGGGACACAGGAUGAAUGGGAACUAGUUUUGUUAUUGUACUUUUGAUGAAAAGUCACUUUCUAGACAUAAAAUGUCACUUUUUUCACCUUAUCAUACUUUUUCAUCAACUUUUGCAUUUUAAUGUAAACAAUCAUAUUUCGUAAUAUUUUGGGUCAGAAACAUUUCAUAGUACUAUAUUAUGUCUAACUAUGUGAAAACAAUCAAAUUGGAGUAGGUCGGGCAACUGAUUAUAUGAGUUUGUUAGAAAAACCACUUUCCUUUGCUCCAAGCGCCUUCUCGUUCGCUCUAUAGCGUUUUGAGUGGAUAAAGAGCACAAGUGUGUAAGGAGACACAGGAUGAAUGGGAACUAGUUUUGUUAUUGUACUUUUGAUGAAAAGUCACUUUCAAGACAUAAAAUGUCACUUUUUUCACCUUAUCAUACUUUUUCAUCAACUUUUGCAUUUUAUUGAAAAAAAUCAUAUUUCGUAAUAUUUUGGGUCAGAAACAUUUCAUAGUACUAUAUUAUGUCUAAAUAUGUGAAAAGAAUCAAAUUGGACUAGGUCGGGCAACUGAUUGUAUGAGUUUGUUAGAAAAACCACUUUCCUUUGCUCCUAGCGCCUUCUCGUUCGCUGUAUAGCGUUUUGAGCGGAUAAAGAGCACAAGUGUGUAAGGAGACACAGAAUGAAUGGGAACUAGUUUUGUUAUUGUACUUUUGAUGAAAAGUCACUUUCUAGACAUAAAAUGUCACUUUUUUCACCUUAUAAUACUUUUUCAUCAACUUUUGCAUUUUAUUGUAAACAAUCAUAUUUCGUAAUAUUUUGGGUCAGAAACAUUUCAUAGUACUAUAUUAUGUCUAACUAUGUGAAAAAAAUCAAAUUGGAGUAGGUCGUGCACUUGAUUAUAUGAGUUUGUUAGAAAAACCACUUUCCUUUGCUCCUAGCGCCUUCUCGUUCGCUCUAUUGCGUUUUGAGCGGAUAAAGAGCACAAGUGUGUAAGGAGACACAGGAUGAAUGGGGACUAGUUUUGUUAUUGUACUUUUGAUGAAAAGUGACUUUCUAGACAUAAAAUGUCACUUUUUUCACCUUAUACUUUUUCAUCAACUUUUGCAUUUUAUUGUAAACAAUCAUAUUUCGUAAUAUUUUGGGUCAGAAACAUUCCAUAGUACUAUAUUAUGUCUAAAUAUGUGAAAACAAUCAAAUUGGAGGCGGUCGGGCAACUGAUUAUAUGAGUUUGUUAGAAAAACCACUUUCCUUUGCUCCUAGCGCCUUCUCGUUCGCUCUAUAGCGUUUUCAGCGCAUAAAGAGCACGUGUGUGUAAGGGGACACAGAAUGAAUGGGAUCUAGUUUUGUUAUUGUACUUUUGAUGAAAAGUCACUUUCUAGACAUAAAAUGUCACUUUUUUCACCUUAUAAUACUUUUUCAUCAACUUUUGCAUUUUAAUGUAAACAAUCAUAUUUCGUAAUAUUUUGGGUCAGAAAAAUUUCAUAGUACUAUAUUAUGUCUAACUAUGUGAAAAAAUCAAAUUGGAGUAGGUCGUGCACUUGAUUAUAUGAGUUUGUUAGAAAAACCACUUUCCUUUGCUCCUAGCGCCUUCUCGUUCGCUGUAUAGCGUUUUGAGCGGAUAAAGAGCAUAAGUGUGUAAGGAGACACAGGAUGAAUGGGAACUAGUUUUGUUGUUGUACUUUUGAUGAAAAGUGACUUUCCAGACAUAAAAUGUCACUUUUAUCACCUUAUCAUACUUUUUCAUCAACUUUUGCAUUUUAUUGUAAACACUCAUAUUUCGUAAUAUUUUGGGUCAGAAACAUUUCAUAGUACUAUAUUAUGUCUAAAUAUUUGAAAACAAUCCAAUUGGACUAG